UAUACAACAGCAGAAGACCACAUUGGCUAACACUCCUGUCAGCCAAGUACAGGAAUCUGAGGCUACAGUGGACACGUUCUCACUGAAACUGGACAGUUGAACAUUGUAAAAACAGCUUGUCUGGCAUCAACAGUCAACAAUCAGCAAUCAGAAAGAGUGUGAUUGCUACAUCCUCCUGAGACACCUCCAAGCCAGCAGAGGGCCCCCUCCCCUGAUGACUAACUUCCCCUUUAUCACCAUUACCACUUCCUGUUUACAGACUAUAUAAGCCUGGUUCAAACUUCUAAGUAUUGCAAUGUCUUGUCAACUCUUGAGAUUGUGUAAUUUCUGAGCUUUGUUUUUUUUUAGUGAUUGCUUUUUCUGUUUUUGUUCCUUGCUGUGUUUUUUUCACUACUCUGGAUUUGUCCUUGUUUGAAGGUUGCAAUAGCCUUAGUCACUGGGGAGGCCUGUUUGGUUGUGGUUGCAUUAGACAUGCUGGCAAGGCUGAAGAAUGAGUGAGGUAAUCCAUAGAAUAUAAACUACUUGGACACAAGUCAUGGCCUGACCACCCCUGGCUGGGUCGCCUGCAUGAGGGUGUCUGAUGUUGAAAGACCUGAAAUAUCUGAUGAACCCAGAUUACAUCACUGAUGAUGCACCCAGGCACUAUCCUGUGACAACUUCAGCAGUUGGCAAUUGACAGACUCAAGCAGUAACACAUCCAAGGUAUAUUGUGAAUUUGGAGAUGUAAUUGCACAGUUUAGUAAUGAAGAUUAUGCAUGAAUAACUAUUGAUCAUUUCAAUAGUGGGGGUCUGCCAAGGCUGCCUAAAAGUGCCUUAGCAACAGCCCCGGCAAACAAUAUGAUAUGAAUUGAUAAUGAAUCAGUUCCAAGAUAAACAUUGCUUAAUCUCCUACACCCUGUAACCCCACCCCCACUUGUAUCUCUUUCUUGUCAUUGAAUUCUGUCCCCUUUUUCUCUAUCUGAGCAUUGACUGCUAGGCUGGGAGUCAUUUGAGCUAACUGUCAAUACUUACCUGGUUUAGACACCCUUAGAGCUGUGGUCAUCCAGACACCAAAAGUGUUGGUUGGAAAUGUGACGGAUAAAUGAGAAGAGAGAGCAAGUGAAAUACACAGAACCAGUGUCUAAAUAUAAAUGCAUGUACUUUU